rnacentral:rRNA from 1 species
CCUACGGGAGGCAGCAGUGAGGAAUAUUGCUCAAUGGAGGCAACCCUGAUGCAGCGACGCCGCGUGCAUGAAGAAGGAUUUCUGUAUUUUAAACUCUAUCAGCAGGGGAGAAAAUGACGUUACCUGAUUAAGAAUCCCCGGCUAACUACGUGCCAGCAGCCUCGGUAAUACGUAGGGGGCAAGCGUUAUCCGGAUUUACUGGGUGUAAAGGGGGCGUAGGCGGCAGCACAAGUCUGGAGUGAAAUGCCGGGGCUUAACCCCGGAACUGCUUUGGAAACUGUGGAGCUAGAGUGCAGGAGAGGUAAGUGGAAUUCCUAGUGUAGCGGUGAAAUGCGUAGAUAUUAGGAGGAACACCAGUGGCGAAGGCGGCUUACUGGACUGUAACUGACGCUGAGGCUCGAAAGCGUGGGGAGCAAACAGGAUUAGAUACCCUAGUAGUC